GACGAGCGGUGGCGGCGUGCCUAAUACAUGCAAGUCGAGCGAGCGGAGCUAACAGAUUUGCUUCGGUAAUGACGUUAGGAAAGCGAGCGGCGGAUGGGUGAGUAACACGUGGGGAACCUGCCCCAUAGUCUGGGAUACCACUUGGAAACAGGUGCUAAUACCGGAUAAGAAAGCAGAUCGCAUGAUCAGCUUUUAAAAGGCGGCGUAAGCUGUCGCUAUGGGAUGGCCCCGCGGUGCAUUAGCUAGUUGGUAAGGUAAAGGCUUACCAAGGCGAUGAUGCAUAGCCGAGUUGAGAGACUGAUCGGCCACAUUGGGACUGAGACACGGCCCAAACUCCUACGGGAGGCAGCAGUAGGGAAUCUUCCACAAUGGACGCAAGUCUGAUGGAGCAACGCCGCGUGAGUGAAGAAGGUUUUCGGAUCGUAAAGCUCUGUUGUUGGUGAAGAAGGAUAGAGGUAGUAACUGGCCUUUAUUUGACGGUAAUCAACCAGAAAGUCACGGCUAACUACGUGCCAGCAGCCGCGGUAAUACGUAGGUGGCAAGCGUUGUCCGGAUUUAUUGGGCGUAAAGCGAGCGCAGGCGGAAGAAUAAGUCUGAUGUGAAAGCCCUCGGCUUAACCGAGGAACUGCAUCGGAAACUGUUUUUCUUGAGUGCAGAAGAGGAGAGUGGAACUCCAUGUGUAGCGGUGGAAUGCGUAGAUAUAUGGAAGAACACCAGUGGCGAAGGCGGCUCUCUGGUCUGCAACUGACGCUGAGGCUCGAAAGCAUGGGUAGCGAACAGGAUUAGAUACCCUGGUAGUCCAUGCCGUAAACGAUGAGUGCUAAGUGUUGGGAGGUUUCCGCCUCUCAGUGCUGCAGCUAACGCAUUAAGCACUCCGCCUGGGGAGUACGACCGCAAGGUUGAAACUCAAAGGAAUUGACGGGGGCCCGCACAAGCGGUGGAGCAUGUGGUUUAAUUCGAAGCAACGCGAAGAACCUUACCAGGUCUUGACAUCUAGUGCCAUUUGUAGAGAUACAAAGUUCCCUUCGGGGACGCUAAGACAGGUGGUGCAUGGCUGUCGUCAGCUCGUGUCGUGAGAUGUUGGGUUAAGUCCCGCAACGAGCGCAACCCUUGUUAUUAGUUGCCAGCAUUAAGUUGGGCACUCUAAUGAGACUGCCGGUGACAAACCGGAGGAAGGUGGGGAUGACGUCAAGUCAUCAUGCCCCUUAUGACCUGGGCUACACACGUGCUACAAUGGGCAGUACAACGAGAAGCGAGCCUGCGAAGGCAAGCGAAUCUCUGAAAGCUGUUCUCAGUUCGGACUGCAGUCUGCAACUCGACUGCACGAAGCUGGAAUCGCUAGUAAUCGCGGAUCAGCACGCCGCGGUGAAUACGUUCCCGGGCCU
rnacentral:rRNA from 1 species